CCUACGGGAGGCAGCAGUGAGGAAUAUUGGUCAAUGGACGCAAGUCUGAACCAGCCAUGCCGCGUGCAGGAAGACGGCUCUAUGAGUUGUAACCUGCUUUUGUACGGGGGUAAACGCAGAUACGUGUAUCUGUCUGAAAGUACCGUACGAAUAAGGAUCGGCUAACUCCGUGCCAGCAGCCGCGGUAAUACGGAGGAUUCAAGCGUUAUCCGGAUUUGUUGGGUUUAACGGGUGCGUAGGCGGUCGGAUAAGUUAGAGGUGAAAUCCCGAGGCUCAACUUCGGAAUUGCCUCUGAUACUGUUCGGCUAGAGAGUAGUUGCGGUAGGCGGAAUGGAGGGUGUAGCGGUGAAAUGCUUAGAGAUCAUACAGAACACCGAUUGCGAAGGCAGCUUACCAAGCUACUGCUGACGUUGAGGCACGAAAGCGUGGGGAGCAAACAGGAUUAGAUACCCGGGUAGUC
rnacentral:rRNA from 1 species